rnacentral:rRNA from 2 species
GGCGGUGUGCCUAAUACAUGCAAGUCGUACGCACUGGCCCAACUGAUUGAUGGUGCUUGCACCUGAUUGACGAUGGAUCACCAGUGAGUGGCGGACGGGUGAGUAACACGUAGGUAACCUGCCCCGGAGCGGGGGAUAACAUUUGGAAACAGAUGCUAAUACCGCAUAACAGCAAAAGCCACAUGGCUUUUGCUUGAAAGAUGGCUUUGGCUAUCACUCUGGGAUGGACCUGCGGUGCAUUAGCUAGUUGGUAAGGUAACGGCUUACCAAGGCGAUGAUGCAUAGCCGAGUUGAGAGACUGAUCGGCCACAAUGGAACUGAGACACGGUCCAUACUCCUACGGGAGGCAGCAGUAGGGAAUCUUCCACAAUGGGCGCAAGCCUGAUGGAGCAACACCGCGUGAGUGAAGAAGGGUUUCGGCUCGUAAAGCUCUGUUGUUGGAGAAGAACGUGCGUGAGAGUAACUGUUCACGCAGUGACGGUAUCCAACCAGAAAGUCACGGCUAACUACGUGCCAGCAGCCGCGGUAAUACGUAGGUGGCAAGCGUUAUYCGGAUUUAUUGGGCGUAAAGCGAGCGCAGGCGGUUGCUUAGGUCUGAUGUGAAAGCCUUCGGCUUAACCGAAGAAGUGCAUCGGAAACCGGGCGACUUGAGUGCAGAAGAGGACAGUGGAACUCCAUGUGUAGCGGUGGAAUGCGUAGAUAUAUGGAAGAACACCAGUGGCGAAGGCGGCUGUCUGGUCUGCAACUGACGCUGAGGCUCGAAAGCAUGGGUAGCGAACAGGAUUAGAUACCCUGGUAGUCCAUGCCGUAAACGAUGAGUGCUAGGUGUUGGAGGGUUUCCGCCCUUCAGUGCCGGAGCUAACGCAUUAAGCACUCCGCCUGGGGAGUACGACCGCAAGGUUGAAACUCAAAGGAAUUGACGGGGGCCCGCACAAGCGGUGGAGCAUGUGGUUUAAUUCGAAGCUACGCGAAGAACCUUACCAGGUCUUGACAUCUUGCGCUAACCUUAGAGAUAAGGCGUUCCCUUCGGGGACGCAAUGACAGGUGGUGCAUGGUCGUCGUCAGCUCGUGUCGUGAGAUGUUGGGUUAAGUCCCGCAACGAGCGCAACCCUUGUUACUAGUUGCCAGCAUUAAGUUGGGCACUCUAGUGAGACUGCCGGUGACAAACCGGAGGAAGGUGGGGACGACGUCAGAUCAUCAUGCCCCUUAUGACCUGGGCUACACACGUGCUACAAUGGACGGUACAACGAGUCGCAAGCUCGCGAGAGUAAGCUAAUCUCUUAAAGCCGUUCUCAGUUCGGACUGUAGGCUGCAACUCGCCUACACGAAGUCGGAAUCGCUAGUAAUCGCGGAUCAGCAUGCCGCGGUGAAUACGUUCCCGGGCCUUGUACACACCGCCCGUCACACCAUGGGAGUUUGUAACGCCCAAAGUCGGUGGCCUAACCUUUAUGGAGGGAGCCGCCUAAGGCGGGACAGAUGAC